rnacentral:rRNA from 1 species
GACGAACGCUGGCGGCGUGCUUAACACAUGCAAGUCGAACGGUGAAGGGACCGGUUUUUGCUGGUUCUGGAUGAGUGGCGAACGGGUGAGUAACACGUGAGUAACCUGCCCCCUUCUUCUGGAUAACCGCAUGAAAGUGUGGCUAAUACGGGAUAUUCUGCGCCUGCUGCAUGGUGGGUGUGGGAAAGAUAUUGUUUCGGUGGGGGAUGGGCUGGCGGCCUAUCAGCUUGUUGGUGGGGUGAUGGCCUACCAAGGCGGGGACGGGUAGCCGGCCUGAGAGGGUGGACGGUCACACUGGGACUGAGACCCGGCCCAGACUCCUACGGGAGGCAGCAGUGGGGAAUAUUGCACAAUGGGCGCAAGCCUGAUGCAGCGACGCCGCGUGAGGGAUGGAGGCCUUCGGGUUGUAAACCUCUUUCGCCAGUGAAGCAGGCCUGUCCCUUUUGUGGGUGGGUUGACGGUAGCUGGAGAAGAAGCGCCGGCUAACUACGUG